GACGAACGCUGGCGGCGUGCCUAAUACAUGCAAGUAGAACGCACAGUUUAUACCGUAGCUUGCUACACCAUAUACUGUGAGUUGCGAACGGGUGAGUAACGCGUAGGUAACCUGCCUGGUAGCGGGGGAUAACUAUUGGAAACGAUAGCUAAUACCGCAUAAUAUUGAUUAUUGCAUGAUAAUUGAUUGAAAGAUGCUAUUGCAUCACUACCAGAUGGACCUGCGUUGUAUUAGCUAGUAGGUGAGGUAACGGCUCACCUAGGCGACGAUACAUAGCCGACCUGAGAGGGUGAUCGGCCACACUGGGACUGAGACACGGCCCAGACUCCUACGGGAGGCAGCAGUAGGGAAUCUUCGGCAAUGGACGAAAGUCUGAACGAGCAACGCCGCGUGAGUGAAGAAGGUUGUCGGAUCGUAAAGCUCUGUUGUAAGAGAAGAACGGGUGUGAGAGUGGAAAGUUCACACUGUGACGGUAUCUGACCAGAAAGGGACGGCUAACUACGUG
rnacentral:rRNA from 1 species